AGGCAGGAAGAAUGCUUAAAAGAGUUUGAGGUUAGCCGGGCGUGGUGGCGCACGCCUUUAAUCCCAGCACUUGGGAGACAGAGGCAGGUAGAUUUCUGAGUUCGAGGUCAGCCUGGUCUACAGAGUGAUUCCAGGCCAGCUUGUUCCAGGUCAGGCCAUAUAAAGAAACUUUGCCUUGAAAAACAAAAACAACCCCCACAAACAACAACAAAGUACAAAUAUGGCAACCUAUGCCAGUAAUCCCAGUACUCAGGAGGCUGAGGCAGGAGGACUGCCCUGAGUUCUAGAACAGCCUGAGCUACAGAAAUCGUUUCAACAAACAAAUAAAUAAAUAAAAAAGAAAGAACUCAAAACAUUCCCAAUCUAAACUAGUAACAUUUUUCUUUCAGUUGACUAGAUGAAAGCCAGUGCUAUUUCCAUGAAAGGGAGCUCCUCUAACAGACUCAGUAUAGGAAGAAGAAACAGGCCUGGGGUGGGAGCAGCUUCAAAGGAAACAUUACCAGGUGACACUUGAAAAACAUUCAAAAGCUUUUCUCUAGAAUUACUGUCAUGUAGUUGCUCUAAUUUGAAAAUUAUUGAUGGUACCAAAUUGUCUCUGUUGGUAAGGGCAAAGAGAAAUACACAGUGCUAUAAGGCAAGUCAGACUCCGCAAGGUUACAU
rnacentral:lncRNA from 1 species